UACGAAGGGGGCUAGCGUUGUUCGGAAUCACUGGGCGGAAAGCGCACGCAGGCGGAUCGAUACGUCGGGGGUGAAAGCCCGGGGCUCAACCUCGGAAUUGCCUUCGAUACUGUCGGUCUCUAGUCCGGGAGAGGUGAGUGGAAUUCCUAGUGUAGAGGUGAAUUUCGUAGAUAUUAGGAAGAACACCAGUGGCGAGGGCGGCUCACUGGCCCGGUACUGUCGCUCAGGUGCGAAAGCGUGGGGAGCAAACAGG
rnacentral:rRNA from 1 species